UCUGAGGAGGAAAGGGGGGGAUCUUAGGACCUCUCGCUCAAGGGGCGGCCGAUGGCAGAUUAGCUAGUUGGUGGGGUAAAGGCCUACCAAGGCGACGAUCUGUAGCUGGUCUGAGAGGACGACCAGCCACACUGGGACUGAGACACGGCCCAGACUCCUACGGGAGGCAGCAGUGGGGAAUUUUGGACAAUGGGGGCAACCCUGAUCCAGCAAUGCCGCGUGUGUGAAGAAGGCCUUCGGGUUGUAAAGCACUUUUGUCCGGAAAGAAAACUUCGGGGUUAAUACCCCUGGAGGAUGACGGUACCGGAAGAAUAAGCACCGGCUAACUACGUGCCAGCAGCCGCGGUAAUACGUAGGGUGCGAGCGUUAAUCGGAAUUACUGGGCGUAAAGCGUGCGCAGGCGGUCCGCUAAGACCGAUGUGAAAUCCCCGGGCUUAACCUGGGAACUGCAUUGGUGACUGGCGGGCUAGAGUAUGGCAGAGGGGGGUAGAAUUCCACGUGUAGCAGUGAAAUGCGUAGAGAUGUGGAGGAAUACCGAUGGCGAAGGCAGCCCCCUGGGCCAAUACUGACGCUCAUG
rnacentral:rRNA from 1 species